AGAGUUUGAUCCUGGCUCAGAUUGAACGCUGGCGGAAUGCUUUACACAUGCAAGUCGAACGGCAGCACGGGAGCUUGCUCCUGGUGGCGAGUGGCGAACGGGUGAGUAAUGCGUCGGAACGUACCGAGUAAUGGGGGAUAACGCAGCGAAAGCUGUGCUAAUACCGCAUACGCCCUGAGGGGGAAAGCAGGGGAUCGUAAGACCUUGCGUUAUUCGAGCGGCCGACGUCUGAUUAGCUAGUUGGUGGGGUAAAGGCCUACCAAGGCGACGAUCAGUAGCGGGUCUGAGAGGAUGAUCCGCCACACUGGAACUGAGACACGGUCCAGACUCCUACGGGAGGCAGCAGUGGGGAAUUUUGGACAAUGGGGGCAACCCUGAUCCAGCCAUUCCGCGUGAGUGAAGAAGGCCUUCGGGUUGUAAAGCUCUUUCAGCCGGAAAGAAACGGUGCGCUCUAACAUAGCGUGCUAAUGACGGUACCGGCAGAAGAAGCACCGGCUAACUACGUGCCAGCAGCCGCGGUAAUACGUAGGGUGCGAGCGUUAAUCGGAAUUACUGGGCGUAAAGCGUGCGCAGGCGGAUUGUUAAGCAAGAUGUGAAAUCCCCGGGCUUAACCUGGGAAUGGCAUUUUGAACUGGCAGUCUAGAGUGUGUCAGAGGGGGGUGGAAUUCCACGUGUAGCAGUGAAAUGCGUAGAUAUGUGGAGGAACACCAAUGGCGAAGGCAGCCCCCUGGGAUAACACUGACGCUCAUGUACGAAAGCGUGGGUAGCAAACAGGAUUAGAUACCCUGGUAGUCG
rnacentral:rRNA from 1 species